CCACGUGGCGGGCGUGCCUUACACAUGCAAGUCGAACGCUGAAGCACCAGCUUGCUGGUGUGGAUGAGUGGCGAACGGGUGAGUAAUACGUGAGUAACCUGCCCUUGACUCUGGGAUAAGCCCGGGAAACUGGGUCUAAUACUGGAUGCUACAUGUCACCGCAUGGUGGUGUGUGGAAAGGGUUUACUGGUCUUGGAUGGGCUCACGGCCUAUCAGCUUGUUGGUGAGGUAAUGGCUCACCAAGGCGACGACGGGUAGCCGGCCUGAGAGGGUGACCGGCCACACUGGGACUGAGACACGGCCCAGACUCCUACGGGAGGCAGCAGUGGGGAAUAUUGCACAAUGGGCGAAAGCCUGAUGCAGCGACGCCGCGUGAGGGAUGACGGCCUUCGGGUUGUAAACCUCUUUCAGCAGGGAAGAAGCCACAAGUGACGGUACCUGCAGAAGAAGCGCCGGCUAACUACGUGCCAGCAGCCGCGGUAAUACGUAGGGCGCAAGCGUUGUCCGGAAUUAUUGGGCGUAAAGAGCUCGUAGGCGGUUUGUCGCGUCUGCUGUGAAAGCCCGGGGCUUAACCCCCGGGUGUGCAGUGGGUACGGGCAGACUAGAGUGCAGUAGGGGGAGACUGGGAAUUCCUGGGUGUAGCGGGUGGAAUGCGCAGAUAUCAGAGGAACACCGAUGGCGAAAGCAGGUCUCUGGGCUGUUACUGACGCUGAGAGCGAAAGCAUGGGGAGCGAACAGGAUUAGAUACCCUGGUAGUCCAUGCCGUAGACGUUUGGGCACUAGGUGUGGGGGACAUUUCCACGGUUUUUCCGGCGCCGUAGCUGACGCAUUAAGUGCCCCCGCCCUGGGGGAGUACUGCCCGCAAUGCUUAAAACUCAAGGAAUGGACGGGGGCCCGCACUAGCCGGCGGAGCAUGCGGAUUUACUCGAUGCACGCGAGCAUCUACAGCCUUGACAUACCCGAUCGUCCAGAAUGCUCUCCCUUUUGGAUCGGUA
rnacentral:rRNA from 1 species